rnacentral:rRNA from 1 species
CAGCACCUCAAGUGGUCAGGAUGAUUAUUGGGCCUAAAGCAUCCGUAGCCGGCUCUGUAAGUUUUCGGUUAAAUCUGUAUGCUCAACAUACAGGCUGCCGGGAAUACUGCAGAGCUAGGGAGUGGGAGAGGUAGACGGUACUCGGUAGGAAGGGGUAAAAUCCUUUGAUCUAUUAAUGACCACCUGUGGCGAAGGCGGUCUACCAGAACACGUCCGACGGUGAGGGAUGAAAGCUGGGGGAGCAAACCGGAUUAGAGACCCGAGUAGUCC